GAUGAAGACGUAGCGAAAUGCGAUACGUAAUGUGAAUUGCAGAAUUCAGUGAAUCAUCGAGUCUUUGAACGCACAUUGCGCCCCUGGUAUUCCGGGGGGCAUGCCUGUCCGAGCGUCAUUGCUGCCCUCAAGCACGGCUUGUGUGUUGGGCCUCCGUCCUCCUCCCGGGGGACGGGCCCGAAAGGCAGCGGCGGCACCGCGUCCGGUCCUCGAGCGUAUGGGGCUUCGUCACCCGCUCUUGUAGGCCCGGCCGGCGCUUGCCGACACAUCAAUCUUUUUUCCAGGUUGACCUCGGAUCAGGUAGGGAUACCCGCUGAACUUAAGCAUAUCAAUAAGCGGAGGA
rnacentral:misc_RNA from 1 species